UACAGAGGUCCCAAGCGUUGUUCGGAAUUACUGGGCGUAAAGCGCACGUAGGCGGCUUUGUAAGUUAGAGGUGAAAGCCCGGAGCUCAACUCCGGAACUGCCUUUAAGACUGCAUCGCUUGAAUCCAGGAGAGGUGAGUGGAAUUCCGAGUGUAGAGGUGAAAUUCGUAGAUAUUCGGAAGAACACCAGUGGCGAAGGCGGCUCACUGGACUGGUAUUGACGCUGAGGUGCGAAAGCGUGGGGAGCAAACAGG
rnacentral:rRNA from 1 species